UACAGAGGUCUCAAGCGUUUGUUCGGAUUCAUUGGGCGUAAAGGGUGCGUAGGUGGCGUCGUAAGUCGGGUGUGAAAUCUUGGGGCUUAACUCCGAAACUGCAUUCGAUACUGCGGAGCUUUGAGUCCUGAAGAGGAGAGCGGAAUUCCCGGUGUAGAGGUGAAAUUCGUAGAUAUCGGGAGGAACACCAGUGGCGAAGGCGGCUCUCUGGACAGGUACUGACGCUGAGACGCGAAAGCGUGGGUGGCAAACAGG
rnacentral:rRNA from 1 species